rnacentral:rRNA from 1 species
UACAGAGGUCCCGAGCGUUGUUCGGAUUCAUUGGGCGUAAAGGGUGCGUAGGCGGCGGGGUAAGUUUGAUGUGAAAUCCCGGGGCUCAACCCCGGAACUGCAUUGGAUACUGCCUUGCUCGAGUACUGGAGAGGGAACUGGAAUUUACGGUGUAGCAGUGAAAUGCGUAGAGAUCGUAAGGAAGGCCAGUGGCGAAGGCGAGUUCCUGGACGUCGGCUGACGCUGAGACGCGAAAGCCAGGGGAGCGAACGGG